UUGUGAGGUUAAGCGACUAAGCGUACACGGUGGAUGCCCUGGCAGUCAGAGGCGAUGAAGGACGUGCUAAUCUGCGAUAAGCGUCGGUGAGGUGAUAUGAACCGUUAUAACCGGCGAUUUCCGAAUGGGGAAACCCAGUGUGUUUCGACACACUAUCAUUAACUGAAUCCAUAGGUUAAUGAGGCGAACCGGGGGAACUGAAACAUCUAAGUACCCCGAGGAAAAGAAAUCAACCGAGAUUCCCCCAGUAGCGGCGAGCGAACGGGGAGGAGCCCAGAGCCUGAAUCAGUGUGUGUGUUAGUGGAAGCGUCUGGAAAGGCGCGCGAUACAGGGUGACAGCCCCGUACACAAAAAUGCACAUAUUGUGAGCUCGAUGAGUAGGGCGGGACACGUGGUAUCCUGUCUGAAUAUGGGGGGACCAUCCUCCAAGGCUAAAUACUCCUGACUGACCGAUAGUGAACCAGUACCGUGAGGGAAAGGCGAAAAGAACCCCGGCGAGGGGAGUGAAAAAGAACCUGAAACCGUGUACGUACAAGCAGUGGGAGCCUCUUAAUGGGGUGACUGCGUACCUUUUGUAUAAUGGGUCAGCGACUUAUAUUCUGUAGCAAGGUUAACCGAAUAGGGGAGCCGAAGGGAAACCGAGUCUUAACUGGGCGUUAAGUUGCAGGGUAUAGACCCGAAACCCGGUGAUCUAGCCAUGGGCAGGUUGAAGGUUGGGUAACACUAACUGGAGGACCGAACCGACUAAUGUUGAAAAAUUAGCGGAUGACUUGUGGCUGGGGGUGAAAGGCCAAUCAAACCGGGAGAUAGCUGGUUCUCCCCGAAAGCUAUUUAGGUAGCGCCUCGUGAAUUCAUCUCCGGGGGUAGAGCACUGUUUCGGCAAGGGGGUCAUCCCGACUUACCAACCCGAUGCAAACUGCGAAUACCGGAGAAUGUUAUCACGGGAGACACACGGCGGGUGCUAACGUCCGUCGUGAAGAGGGAAACAACCCAGACCGCCAGCUAAGGUCCCAAAGUCAUGGUUAAGUGGGAAACGAUGUGGGAAGGCCCAGACAGCCAGGAUGUUGGCUUAGAAGCAGCCAUCAUUUAAAGAAAGCGUAAUAGCUCACUGGUCGAGUCGGCCUGCGCGGAAGAUGUAACGGGGCUAAACCAUGCACCGAAGCUGCGGCAGCGACGCUUAUGCGUUGUUGGGUAGGGGAGCGUUCUGUAAGCCUGUGAAGGUGUGCUGUGAGGCAUGCUGGAGGUAUCAGAAGUGCGAAUGCUGACAUAAGUAACGAUAAAGCGGGUGAAAAGCCCGCUCGCCGGAAGACCAAGGGUUCCUGUCCAACGUUAAUCGGGGCAGGGUGAGUC
rnacentral:rRNA from 1 species